AUGUACGUGCAUAAUGGUGUCAAGCUGCUGCACAGAAGAAAAACCACAGCGAUCCUAUUAAAUCUUGACAUCACCCAGGCUUUUGAUAGUGUACCUUGGGAGUACCUCCUUGAGCUGCUGUAAAAUCUGGGCUUCAGUGGCAGAUGCAGGGAUUGGAUCGUGCUGCUGCUGCCGACCUCCAGUUCGGCUGUCAUGCUCAAUGGGGUGCCCGGAGUGGAGUUGUUGCACCAGCAAGGGCUGCGCCAGGGGGACCCCCUCUCACCGUUGCUAUUCAUUCUGGCAAUUGAUCCACUGCAUCAUCUGCUUCAGCUUGCAGCGGAGAGAAACAUCAUAAACCCUCUGCCGGGAAGAGAGCUGAAGCUGCAUGUCAGUCUCUAUGCGGACGACGAUGUCCUCUUUGCAAACCCAAUCGCGGAAGAGAUCGAGGCUCUCAUGGGUAUUCUGCAGGGCUUUGGGGAUGCAACUGGCCUCAAGAUUAACCUCGUCAAAUCAUCUGCGGCGCCUAUCCGCUGCGAGGACAUCAAUAUGGCCGAGGUUUUGCAGAGCUUUGGGGGACAAAUGAAGUCCUUCCCGAUAACAUACCUGGGGCUGCCGAUUACGCCGACAAGGCUCAGGCUAGUGCACCUUUAA
rnacentral:rRNA from 1 species